GCAGAAGUGGUGAAAUUGGUAGACACGCUAGGUUCAGGGUCUAGUGAGCUUACGCUCGUAGGGGUUCAAAUCCCCUCUUCUGUACCA
rnacentral:tRNA from 1 species